AGAUGGUUUCUCCUUAAAAUGGCUCCAAGUCUGGGGACAGCUAGAGCCAGCGGAAGGGCACGCCGUGGCAGUGCUGGAGUAGCUGUUCGAGUGGGACUGACUGGGCCAAACCGGACCAGACGUGAAGUAGACCGCGCCUGGAGCACCACCCCGCCCUUGCGCGCUCUGCGCGCGCGUACCGAGAGUCUCCCUCCCCCUGUCUUGAGCUGAGUCUAGGGCCUACUGGCGCAUGAGUCCUUGGCGUCCCGCGGCAUGGGCAUCUCUGCGCACCGGUUCUGUCCUGGCCUCAGAGGAACUUUGUCGCGUUCUCUAUCCGCUGGACUAGACGGGUGGGAUGCUUGACACAAAUGGGGCUUGGCUGUGGGGUUCUUUGCAGGGCCGGUUGCAAUGGGCUUGGGGGGAGGCUGUCCUGCCGCUGCUAUGUGGGCCAGUUUGGCCCCUGGCACUUCAUGAGCUGGCACCGUCACCAGACAAAAGGUCCUAAGCUUUGGGGAGUCCCAGAAGUGGACACAUGGGUUUACUUCCUCUCGGGUCUCACGGAAUCGCUUCCCUCUUGACGGAUUCCGAAGCCUGCCCGGUACAAGUGGCUCCUGCUUGGGACUCACAGGGCUAAUCCAGCCCUUCUGAUCUAAUCCGGAUCAGGACCUCGUCCCGGGGGAUGCCCCCACCUUCUAUUGUUCUGGGGCCCAGAUGUCACUCCUCUCCGGAGCAAAGUUCACCGGUUGGAUUCAUUCAUUACUGGGGGAAGUGGAGUUUCACGUUACUUGGAAACGAAAGAGUUUGGACAUAGAAAAGCUCACCUGCAGCUUGCUCUACCUGAGAGCUCUGCUUAUUUGGGUCUUCUCAUCAUCACAUUUGUCUUAAACUGACCAGUUGCCUAAAGAACCAAAGGUGCCGGUAACACCAGUUUAAAGGAAAAACAUUAAAGGCUGGUAAUCCUGGAAUCAUGAUGACUAAUUCCUCGGGUAUCAAGAUGGGCAAUUCUAUCCGAUUGGGCUUUUACUGGGAAUAAAGACAUUCCAUACCGCAGCCGAGGAAAGGCGUACCAAUAAUCAGAACUCAAAUUUUGCUUUGUUUCGUUACUUUUCCAAGUAGGCGGUAAAGAGUCUUUAAUGGAAGACACGAGUGGUGGCACACACCUUUAAUCCCAGUACUCAGGAGGCAGAGGCAGGUGGAUUUCUGAGUUCAAGGACUUUCUGGUCUACAAAGAGUUCCAGGACAGCCAUGGCUACACAGUGAAACCCUGUCUUGAAAAACAAAGUGUCAUUAAUGGUACAGCCUUAUUCCUUUGACAUUUCGUCUCGUGCGUCUGGCCUUUAAUUUGUUUAAAUGGGGCAGAAAAAGAAAAAAGAGACAUAAACACAAAGAUGUGAAA
rnacentral:lncRNA from 1 species